rnacentral:rRNA from 1 species
UGCCAGCCGCCGCGGUAAGACGAAGGUGGCGAGCGUUGUUCGGAAUUACUGGGCAUAAAGAGCACGUAGGCGGUAAUGUAAGUCAAAAGUGAAAGCCCCCGGCUCAACCGGGGAAUUGCUUCUGAUACUGCAUAACUAGUCGGUCGGUGGGGAGAGUGGAAUUCUUGGUGGAGCGGUGAAAUGCAUAGAUAUCAGGAAGAACGCCGGUGGCGAAGGCGACUCUCUAAUCGAUUCGAGACGCUGAGGUGCGAAAGCUAGGGGAGCAAACAGGAUUAGAUA